AGCUGCGGGUAAGAACAACAGGGAUUGCCCUAGUAACGGCGAGUGAAGCGGCAAUAGCUCAGAUUUGAAAUCUGGCGUCUUUGGCGUCCGAGUUGUAAUCUGUAGAGGAUGCCUUUGGGUAGCCACCGGUCUAAGUCCCCUGGAACGGGGCGUCACAGAGGGUGAGAAUCCCGUAUGUGACCGGAAGGGCACCCUCCACAAGGCUCCUUCGACGAGUCGAGUUGUUUGGGAAUGCAGCUCUAAAUGGGAGGUAAAUUCCUUCUAAAGCUAAAUACCGGCCAGAGACCGAUAGCGCACAAGUAGAGUGAUCGAAAGAUGAAAAGCACUUUGGAAAGAGAGUUAAAAAGCACGUGAAAUUGUUGAAAGGGAAGCGCUUGCAACCAGACUUGUUGGCGGUGUUCCGCCGGUCUUCUGACCGGUCCACUCACCGUCUGCAGGCCAGCAUCAUCUGGGGCCGCCGGAUAAAAGCGAGGGGAAUGUGGCUCCCCCGGGAGUGUUAUAGCCCCUCGUGCAAUACGGCGAGCCUCGGGUGAGGUCCGCGCUUCGGCUAGGAUGCUGGCGUAAUGGUCGUAAGCGGCCCGUCUUGAAACACGGACCAAGGAGUCUAACAUCUAUGCGAGUGUUCGGGUGUCAAACCCCUACGCGUAAUGAAAGUGAACGGAGGUGGGAGCCUUAGGGUGCACCAUCGACCGAUCCUGAUGUCUUCGGAUGGAUUUGAGUAAGAGCAUAGCUGUUGGGACCCGAAAGAUGGUGAACUAUGCCUGGAUAGGGUGAAGCCAGAGGAAACUCUGGUGGAGGCUCGCAGCGGUUCUGACGUGCAAAUCGAUCGUCAAAUUUGGGUAUAGGGGCGAAAGACUAAUCGAACCAUCUAGUAGCUGGUUCCUGCGAGUUUUUCUCCGAAAAAAAAAAAUUAUAUUUUUUUUAAAAUAUUUUUUCUAUGUUUAUUCCCCCUUA
rnacentral:rRNA from 1 species